GGCUGGGUAGCUCAGUGGUAGAGCACACGCUUCAUAAGCGUGCCGUCGAGGGUUCGAUCCCCUCCCCAGCUA
rfam:Parcubacteria (Magasanikbacteria) bacterium GW2011_GWC2_41_17 TT49_C0006, whole genome shotgun sequence.